GAUCCCUGGUCCAUCGCCUGGCGUUUCCUCGUGUGGCGGGCCAUGUUCCCUCGCUUGAGUCCUGCGCGCCAAGCGCUCACACACUGCGGCCCAAAAUCUAGCGCGCAGGCCGAGUGUGGCGCGUUGCACAGAGUCCGGCACACGGCCCGCUCGAGAGAGCCUCGGAUGGUCACGGACAAGUCCAGUUCGAGUCCGGGGGGCUCGAGGACUCGAUGGUGAUUUGCCAUCGCAGUGGGACCCGCGCCUCCACUUCUGCGGUUCACUGGCUCUCUCCCCGCCCCCCAACCUCUGUACGGCUCUGUACGUGUUCGGGCAAUGGGUCCGGGUUCUGAUUCGAAUCUCUUCACGCAGUCAACAUUGUGGAUUUACGGAUCCAACCCAAGAAGCAAGAAACAGAAGGCAAAGUAUGUAACGGACCACGUGAGGAAAGGAAAACAUCCUUCACCUCGAACGCCUUUUUCCGCUGGUGACCAUCCACGGCUCAACUACCGUCGAUCCGUCUCUCCCAAGAUCUUUGGCAGUUGGCAAAGGAAACAGAGCUAGUGUUUGUCUAAGAAUUCCAGUUUCCGAUUGGUUGUUUUAUCAUUUUCUUAGCAUUGAAUUGGAUCCAGUUGUUUGGUGGAGAGCAGGUACCUGGGAUAUGGCUGGGCAGGAUUAUUCAGGAGGUACUUGGUGGUGCCUGCUGCUAUGUGGUGGCCUUUAAUCUUGUUCAAGUCUGUCUCUUCAGGGACUCCGUGGGAAGGAAAACAGGCCGAGGCACAGCUUGACUUGUAAACAGUUCUUGAUUGCCUUCGUCUGCAGCUUUGCAUACAAUAUGUUCCCCGGUUGGAAUUGUGCCGAUUGGACUUGAUUGGUCAUCUGUAUGUAUGUCUCUCUUUCUAUAUGUUCUCUUAGAAAAGGGACAGACCUAGGAUUAAGCGGACACAUGCUGGUGGAAGCUCACUCUCUUGUUUCUUAGUUUUGCUAGUAUGUCUUCUUGCUAAUGUUUGUGAUAUGAGACAAAGCAUCUUUCCAUUCUGCCUGUUUGAUGCCACAGGUCCACCAGAAGCAGGCCCUGAAUCUAGAAUUUUGGUUAGGACUGCCUUUUUCAAAAUGUGUUGUAGAUGGAGCAAUGACGUGAGUUCAACUUUUUAUUAUGUUCAAUGUUUUAACAAAGAAUUGGUGUAUAAUUGAAGUCACAUAAUCUCAUAAACAACAGAUAAUCCAGUGCAUUGCUAUUCAUAACAUAUUUUGGAUGAGAGUGGUGUUCUCUGGAUGAACUUAUUUGUUGCUCUAUCUCAAUUUUUCACAUUCCGACUGGCUUCUGUCACAUGAUCCAAUCUCUCGACAGGGUUAAGCAGUUGUUUUACAAGCUAGCAUCCGUUCAUGGAGAAAGUCUUAACUGAUGUAUCAGAUGUAUGAAGGGAUAUUCUCGCAUCAAAUGAGACCAACCGGUCUCAUGCUUUUGGGGACUGCACGCUACCAAACAAACUUUCUUUCGUUUCAAUUCCCUGAUCCUCAUAUAACUGCAAGUCAGUACAUAAGUUCAUAUGAAUUUUGCAGGACUUCAUUGAUACUCAUGAGCAUGGAUUCUAGUGCCACCCUGAAGCUCGGCCCUCUCAAGAUGCAUCGUGCGCGCGGCUAUGCGCGAAAAAGAUACAUGCUGAGACCCCAAAUGAUCGUCCAUGUGGUGAUAAAUAUCUGUUGCAGUUUCUUUUCUGUUGUGGUGCUGUAUACUUUGCAGAAUUUUCUUGGCUUACUCCUAAGCAUCAGAUGUAUCACUCCUAAUACAUAUUGUUAUCCAACAUCAUAUUUGUCACCAGGCGUUUCUCCCAAGUGUUUUAUUCUUCACUCAGUCAUUGCAUAUGGGUCGCAUAUGGAUUUAUAAGUUACUCGAAGCAUUGCCUUUGGGCUCUGGAUUCAAAUCCAUGCAGUCUUGUUGGAAUCGCAAUUGUAUGCACUGUUACCGCUGCAUGAACUCUAAACAUGAUAAAUCAUAUGCACUGUUAUUGCUGACAGAGGAUGGUCGAUGCAGCUUUAUUUCUAUCAGGUGGUGGGAACCUUUAUAUCGGCACUGGUGCACCUGGGAACCGCAUGGGGGCUCGUGAGCACCAUUGAAUGGGGUCUGAUUGGGCCUAGCACAAUCUUUAGUGACCUUGGAAACCAUACUACUUAGCAAUCAACUGGUUCCUCCUACUUGGCGCCAUUUGUCUCCUUGUCUGGCUUGCCCACAAGGCCUUUCCACGGCAGCAGUGAUCCGCUUUAUCGCCGUUUCUUGGAUUAUCCCCUGCUUGAUGCUCGCCUUGCAUAUAUGUUAGUGUUGUUACUUGGGUUGGGUUGGAUCUUGAUGCUCGCCUUACUUAUAUGGCAUUAUGCUCUCGCCCUCUCCAGGGAUCUUGAUGUGCUAGUGUUGUUACUUGUGUUGGGUUGCCACGAUUAUGCCCUCUCCAGGGAUCUUGAUGCUCAGUGUUGGGGUCUGAGGGUAUCAUGAUUCAUGACCCGUUGGUGGGGAUGCAAGUUGGAUGGAUGCUCGUUGACUUCUUGGUCAACCGCGAAGGGAUCAAGCAUAUCCCGGGCUUUCAUCUUCUUGGAACAUGCCGCUUGUGCUUAAUCACCACUUUGAACUAAUUGCGACGAUCUGGCGCCGCGCGACUCCUCAGAUGUUAAUAAAACGGGUAUUAUGUCAGUUUAGCCCUUGGACGUGCACGAACGGUGCUUCGCAGCCUCAAUCAAUCGUUGGAUCCGAAAACCUGCCGGUUCCCUCCCCUCGUAGUCCGCUUCGCGUUUGUUCUGGUGGCGGGGCACUCACGGCCAUGGACUCCCAGACCGACGGCGGCGGCGGAGGGGAUGACGUCACCACACUGAAGGAGAUGCGCCACCAGUUGGAAGACUCCAUCGAGGCCCGUCGGCAAGCCCAGCAGGACCUCAUCGUCUCCCUUCAGACCGUCGUCCCGGACCUCGUCUCCUCCCUCGACAUCUCCCUCCGCGUCAUCUCCGCCUUCAACCGCCGGCCCUUCUUCCCCACCCCCAACCCUAACCCUAACCCCAACACCCCCCCCUCCGAUUCCCCCCGCCCCCUCACCCCUCGCCGCCGCCCCCCUCUCCCCGACUCCCAUUCCCUUCCUCCCCGCACCCGUCCCAAGCCCUCCCCUGAGCCCCGCCGCGACCGCUCCUCUCCCGACGCCGACGGAGGCGGAUCCGGCGGCGGAUCCAGCGGCGGUGGCGACCACCUCUCGGUCGUCCGCACCAUGAUCGCCGUCUACCUCCUUGAGCUCAUCCCCUUCACCGAGAUCGACUCCGCCGCCCUGCUCCGCCGGCUCGAGGGCGACCAGUCCUCAGCCACCCCCGCCGAGAAGGCCGCCCUGGUCGAGCUCGGCGGGGAGCUCGGACCGAUCUCCGCUGUCGAGACGGCGCUCCGGCGGAUCGCCGAGGAGAGCGGCGGGGUGCAGCUGGAGGACUUCACGGUGAACGGGAAGUCUAUGUUGAUGAUUUGGGGUAUUGAUCGGAACAAGCUCCUCAAGGAGCUCCAAGAGUGCUCCUCCCAGAAUCAGCAGCCGCGGGAGGCGGAAGCCAGUUUCGCCGAUGGGAACAACCAGGGUCAGGGGCCGGGGAUGGGCGGAGUCGAUGGCGGCGUUGCGAUGAUGCCGAGGCCACCGCCAGAGAUGUGGAUGGGGCCUCCUGACCCUCAUUUAUCUGGCAUGUCUCCUAUGUUUCCACAGCCUGGCGCGCCGCCGCCCAUGGUCGGCCCAAGGGGCGGGCGGAGGGCUACGAGCUCGAUGGGGAUUCCGAGGAUGAUGGGCAUCCCUCCCCCCAACAGGCCUGUCAUGGGGCCUGGCGCUGCUAUGGGAAGCCCAAGUCCGGCGCCAUCGAACCAAAGGACUGAGGAGGAUGAGCUGAAGGACCUUGAGGCAUUGCUGAACAAGAAGACGUUCAGGGAAAUGCAAAAAUCGAAGACUGGAGAGGAACUUUUGGAUCUCAUUCACCGCCCGACUGCAAAGGAAACUGCUGUUGCGGCAAAGUUCAAGACCAAGGGUGGCUCUCAACUCAAAGAGUAUUGUACACAUUUAACUAAAGAAGAUUGCCGACGCCAAACUGGUUCAUUCAUUGCAUGUGAGAAGGUGCAUUUUCGGCGGAUUAUUGCUCCGCACACUGAUACAAAUUUAGGUGACUGCUCUUUUCUUGAUACAUGCCGUCACACAAAGACCUGCAAAUAUGUUCAUUAUGAACUUGACCAAACACCAGAUAUACCUCCAAUGAGAAUGGGUGCUACUAAUCUUCCACCUCCAAAACCAAUCAAGUCCCAAAGGGCCGAAUAUUGUUCAGAAGUGGAGCUUGGAGAACCUCAAUGGAUAAACUGUGACAUCCGUAACUUCAGAAUGGACAUUUUAGGGCAGUUUGGAGUUAUCAUGGCAGACCCACCUUGGGACAUUCACAUGGAAUUGCCAUAUGGUACAAUGUCAGAUGAUGAGAUGAGAAAUCUUAACGUACCUGCAUUGCAGACUGAUGGUCUGAUUUUUCUAUGGGUCACUGGGCGUGCAAUGGAACUUGGGCGUGAAUGUUUGGAGCUUUGGGGAUACAAGCGUGUUGAGGAGCUCAUAUGGGUGAAGACCAAUCAACUCCAACGAAUUAUUCGAACUGGACGCACUGGCCAUUGGCUUAAUCAUAGUAAAGAACAUUGUCUUGUUGGAAUAAAGGGAAACCCAGAGGUCAAUAGGAACAUUGAUACAGAUGUUAUUGUAGCUGAAGUUCGUGAAACAAGCCGAAAACCUGAUGAGAUGUACCCAAUGCUGGAGAGGAUAAGCCCCAGGACAAGGAAGUUGGAAUUGUUUGCUCGAAUGCACAAUACACAUGCUGGGUGGUUAUCCCUGGGUAAUCAAUUGCAAGGAGUCAGGUUAGUUGAUGAUGGUCUGAGAGCAAGGUUCAAGGCUGCUUAUCCAGAUGUGGAGGUACAACCAUCAUCUCCUUCCAGAACAACUUCUGCCAUGGAUGGGGAUUCAAACACCACACAAACUAGGAGCCCUUUUGUUGGGACAGACUCAAAACAAUCAUCGAGCCAAUUUAUGGAGCCAACACCACCCGCGGGCUAUUCCGGAGGAAAACCUAUGGGCGCAGAUUUUGAGACAUCUUCUUAAUAUCAGCACGUAUAGUUGGUUUGUUUUUGUCAUCGUGUGAUCUUAGCCUUUUUUCUCUGGGUGCAUGUUUCAUCAGCUAGUUGGCUGCCCUUUCUAGGAUACAGAAAAAGAUGUGAGCAGCUGGAUGCUUUCAUAAGGAGUGCUGCUGUGAUUGCCAGCUCCCAAAACCAGUCUCCCAAGGCAGUUUGGGACAUGAGUGACAGGCAGGCCCCAUAUACCAGCCCGACAGUCACCGCCUCCGGGUGCCGGGGGUGGGUCGCAGAGUAGUGCCGUCGAACAGGUAUCUGGCUGCAUGCUCCUGAUUCUGCUACCUUUCUGUGAAUUGCAACCGGCUGCCCUCAAAAACACCCUUGAUUGCUGCAAUUUAUCCCCUUACCGUGUGCGCCAUCGGAUAGAGGAUGGGAUAGCAUGGAUCUCAAAGUCUGUCCUGUAUUCCGGUGAGCUCCCGAGAAAGAAAUGCAGAUUCUACUUUGCUGCUGGACCUAAAAGGCAGUGCAAAGGCCAUGAAAGGACCUAUCACCGCGUGAAACAACUAAUUGGAUGCUCUAUCAUUUUCAAUGUUUAGAUAGAGUUUAGACUUUAUGUGGCCGCACGUUGUUGUUAUUAUGUUUUUCAAAGGACGUAUUAAAUAGAACCAUGGUGAUGGUCUUGGAUCGUCUA